rnacentral:lncRNA from 1 species
AUAUUGGUUUUGCCUGAAUCAAAACGGAAAUGAAACGUACUGCUGUGAAUGCAGUUCAAGGCCCAUAUAUUAUCGCAGGUAGUGGGGAAAUGGCGUUGUCCGUGUACUUAAAGAAAAGCUUGCUGGAGAAGAUCGCAAAAGCCAUGGCUUUGGUCCGUGAGGUUAUCAUCGGAAAUGCCGCUUCAUGCCAUGGGGCGGUGGUGAUGUUCCCACAAUGGCAGCCUCCUUCCCCUGUGAACAAGCUGCCAAUCGUUGGAAGUUACCUGCUCUUGAGGGACGAGGUGAUUUUUAAAGAGGCAACGAAAAAAGCCGUGAUGCUCCCAUACCAUCUGGAAAAGGAAUUUUCCAAGGUACAAACCAGGAAAGGCCAUGAAUNGUGUUGGUAGACCAGCUGGUCCAAGCUGGAAACGGACAGAACAAUCUCAGGAGCUAAAGACAGAGGAAGGUGGAGGAGGAUUUGUACCCGGUGCAUCAAACCCUUGGAUCAAGAAGGCAAUGCUUUGCUAUGGGAAAGAAGGGCCCCCUCCAUCAGAGCUUGUCUUCAUCUUCAGUCACUCCAUCAUGCUUCAGGAGAGAAUGAGACAGUUCCAAUUCCUGGAAAGCUCAACGAAUGAGCGCCCCAGCUGCCUCCAGAAUUUGUCAGAGAUGUUAUGGGUGCCGAUUCUGACCAUUCUUCAAAGCAGCAAGCUAGCGAAGAGGACGAUGACGGUGCCUCUGAGGAGGAGAAGGAUGACGCAGAAGAGCCCAGCUUUAUCACGGAGAGAUGAUGGAGUAACUUUGUGGCCGGUGUCCAUGUGUGUAUUUGCUGCCAAGGAGCCUGGAACCCGUGCUGAGCAGGUUCCUUUUUGCUGCUUUGGACCUUCAUCGUGGCAGNGUGUGGCCAUAACCAUAUGAGUCAGGGCCGGAGCCAAGUCGGACAAGAGUUUCUUUUCAGCUUACUGCUACUGGGAUUCUGGAAAAAAAAAAGAAUGUCACGGUGCCCAUCUUGUUCUUCUUACCAUUGCUCCGAGGUGGUGUUUUCUCUCGGAAAGCUAAUGCUUUACCCACNUGUGUUUUUAAGCAGAUUCUUUUUCCCUGAGAGACUUGAAAUGUACNUACGUGAAAAAGGCUAGUUGGCUGACUCAUGCUACCAGGUCAAGCGUCCAGAGAGUUUCUGCUAAACGAAUCUUUACCAGCAGUGAAUAUCUUUUUCUGCUUUUUCAAAAAACAAAACAAAAAAAGAGACUAAGAAUUUGUUAAUAAAGAGGGAAGACAUUGAACCUUUGUGUGAGAU